GUGAGGAAUAUUGGACAAUGGGCGCAAGCCUGAUCCAGCCAUGCCGCGUGCAGGAAGACGCAUCUAUGGUGUGUAAACUGCUUUUGUACGGGAAGAAACACUCCCUCGUGAGGGAGCUUGACGGUACCGUAAGAAUAAGGAUCGGCUAACUCCGUGCCAGCAGCCGCGGUAAUACGGAGGAUCCAAGCGUUAUCCGGAAUCAUUGGGUUUAAAGGGUCCGUAGGCGGUUUAAUAAGUCCGUGGUGAAAGCCCAUCGCUCAACGAUGGAACGGCCAUUGAUACUGUUAGACUUGAAUUACAAGGAAGUAACUAGAAUAUGUAGUGUAGCGGUGAAAUGCUUAGAUAUUACAUGGAAUACCAAUUGCGAAGGCAGGUUACUACUUGUGGAUUGACGCUGAUGGACGAAAGCGUGGGGAGCGAACAGGAUUAGAAACCCGGGUAGUCC
rnacentral:rRNA from 1 species